AUCAUUAGUUUACAGUAUAUACAAAUUUGAAAAAUAUCUAUUGAGUAUUGGGCAUAUCCUGCUUCAUUAAAUUCUUAAAUUAAAUAGGACUGCCAGUUUUCAAGAUCUAUAUUUCGAUGAUAAAAUUCAGUUAUCAAAUGUAGAAAACGUUGAUGGAAAAUUAAAGAUUUUAGUAAUUUCAACUUUCAUGUUUUUCGUAGAAUGUUGUAAUUGUUUAGUAAAAUAAUUCUAUUUCUAUCGGUGUGAAGGUUUUGCUACCAGCAAACAACGACUGGGUUUGUUGGGUGCCAUAUUGAUACCCUGGUGGAGGUUGAUAUGUGUUACCAAGGUUGCUAUAUGUGUUUUGGUUGCUGUUGGCAUUGUUAUAGAUUUUCAGAUCAUGACCUCCACCAAAUACUGCUCCAUAAGAAGAAUGACAGUAGAUUGCGUUGCCAUUUUUACCGUUAAUCAUCGGACAUUUGAAUGGUUGCAUGUUGUUUGGGUUACGUAAUGAGAACAAAAAUGAUGCGUUGGAACUUUUGUACUGACCUGAACCU